GUGAGGAAUAUUGCACAAUGGGCGAAAGCCUGAUGCAGCAACGCCGCGUGAGUGAUGAAGGCCUUUGGGUCGUAAAACUCUGUCCUUGGGGAAGAAAAAAAUGACGGUACCCUUGGAGGAAGCCCCGGCUAACUACGUGCCAGCAGCCGCGGUAAUACGUAGGGGGCAAGCGUUAUCCGGAAUUAUUGGGCGUAAAGAGUGCGUAGGUGGUUUUGUAAGCGUAGGGUGAAAGGCAGUAGCUCAACUAUUGUUAGCCCUGCGAACUGUGAGACUUGAGUGCAGGAGAGGAAAGUGGAAUUCCUAGUGUAGCGGUGAAAUGCGUAGAUAUUAGGAGGAACACCAGUGGCGAAGGCGGCCACCUGGACCGGUAUUGACGCUGAGGUGCGAAAGCGUGGGGAGCAAACAGGAUUAGAUACCCCAGUAGUCC
rnacentral:rRNA from 1 species